rnacentral:rRNA from 1 species
UACGUAGGGGGCGAGCGUUGUUCGGAUUUAUUGGGCGUAAAGAGCGUGCAGGCGGCCGCGCAGGUCCGGUGUGAAAACUGAAGGCUCAACCUUCAGAGGUCGAUGGAAACCGUGCGGCUAGAGUCCGGAAGAGGAGAGUGGAAUUCCUGGUGUAGCGGUGAAAUGCGCAGAUAUCAGGAAGAACACCCGUGGCGAAAGCAGCUCUCUGGGACAGUACUGACGCUCACACGCGAAAGCGUGGGGAGCGAACAGG